rnacentral:rRNA from 1 species
UACGUAGGGUGCAAGCGUUAAUCGGAUUUACUGGGCGUAAAGGGCGCGUAGGCGGCCAGCACAAGUCAGUUGUGAAAUCUCCGAGCUUAACUCGGAAAGGUCAACUGAUACUGUGCGGCUAGAGUGCGGAAGGGGCAACUGGAAUUCUUGGUGUAGCGGUGAAAUGCGUAGAUAUCAAGAGGAACACCUGCGGCGAAGGCGGGUUGCUGGGCCGACACUGACGCUGAUGCGCGAAAGCCAGGGGAGCGAACGGG